rnacentral:rRNA from 1 species
ACGAACGCUGGCGGCGUGCUUAACACAUGCCAGUCGAACGGAAAGGCCCUGCUUUUGUGGGGUGCUCGAGUGGCGAACGGGUGAGUAACACGUGAGUAACCUGCCCUUGACUUUGGGAUAACUUCAGGAAACUGGGGCUAAUACCGGAUAGGAGCUCCUGCUGCAUGGUGGGGGGUGGAAAGUUUCGGCGGUUGGGGAUGGACUCGCGGCUUAUCAGCUUGUUGGUGGGGUAGUGGCUUACCAAGGCUUUGACGGGUAGCCGGCCUGGGAGGGUGACCGGCCACAUUGGGACUGAGAUACGGCCCAGACUCCUACGGGAGGCAGCAGUGGGGAAUAUUGCACAAUGGGCGGAAGCCUGAUGCAGCAACGCCGCGUGCGGGAUGACGGCCUUCGGGUUGUAAACCGCUUUCGCCUGUGACGAAGCGUGAGUGACGGUAAUGGGUAAAGAAGCACCGGCUAACUACGUG